rnacentral:rRNA from 1 species
AUAUCAGUCAUGCAUAGCAUAUCAAUAAGCGGAGGAAAAGAAACUAACAAGGAUUCCCCUAGUAACGGCGAGUGAAGCGGGAAGAGCUCAAAUUUGAAAUCUUAAAGGGUUUCCCUUUACGAAUUGUAGUUUAAAGAAGUGUUUUCUGUUAGAGUUUUGGUAAAAGUUCUUUGGAAUAGGACAUCAUAGAGGGUGAGAAUCCCGUAUUUGACCUUUACUUUCAACUUUGUGAUACACUUUCAAAGAGUCGGAUUGUUUGGGAAUGCAGUCCAAAAUGGGUGGUAAAUUUCAUCUAAAGCUAAAUAUUGGCGAGAGACCGAUAGCGAACAAGUACCGUGAGGGAAAGAUGAAAAGAACUUUGAAAAGAGAGUUAAACAGUACGUGAAAUUGUCAAAAGGGAAGCGUUUGACACCAGUGUUGUUUUUCUGAAAAUCAAUUAAAGAACUGUUUAUGCUAAGCUGUUUAGACUUUAUCAGCUAAUCUGCUUAGUUUUGAGCUUUUCUUUAAUGCACUUUUCAGUUAACAAGUCAACAUCAAUUUCUUUUGCUGUAAAAAAGCUUGAGGAAGGUGGCUUGAGAUUCGUCUUAAGUGUUUAUAGCCUCUUGCCUAUGCAGUCGGAGAGAUUGAGGUCUGCAGCGUAGAUCCUUCGGGGCUAAAUGCAUUUGUGCUAAGUUAUCAGCAUUUUAUAGACAACUUGUUGACUAUGAUUUGUCUUGUAGCUUACUCGCUUAUGUUAUUCUACCUACGCUUAGGAUGUUGAUCUACAGAGCGAGAGU